CUCCUCGUGUGUAAUGUCGGGCAGUUGCUGUGUCCGUUUGUUUGAGGUCUUUCGUUCUUGUGCCCUGGUUCUUAGAACGGUUUGAAUAAAGAAGCUCACAGUGAGUACACGUGUAAAGAGAUGAGAAAAUUGCUGUUGAAGAGCUUGAAGUGCUACUGUCAGUUUCUAGAGGGGUUUCAUGAAGAUGACCUCUAACACAAGCUUGUUUUGAGAUCUUUUAUCUGCUGGUGACCCACACUAAGUUUAAUCAUCUGUGUACCUUGAGUAUUUCUGCGCACUUUUUUGAAUAAGGGUUUUAAUCAUACUUUAGAAUGGUUUGAGCAUUUUCUGAGGUCCAGUUUGUCAUUUCUAACCCAUUUCCACCCCCCCCAUUUUCUACCUUCAUUUCAGAUCUGUUAAAGUUGGCAGUAAUUAUAUCAGCACUUUUUUCAGUAUUUUUCUCUGGUCACUCUUGCCAGCUUUGAAACCAGGGAUGAUUAUGUUCAAGCUGCAGUGCAAGACAAAUUGAAUUUUACACACCCUUAAGUAAUAUCCUUAGACAAGUUAUUCAGUAAUAUGAACUAAUCCUGGAAUAAUGUACAUAACCUGAUCUGUAAAAUAACAUAGCAUUAUACAUCUGUGAUGACCGAUAUGAAAUUGGGGGAGUGAGGCAGUUCUUUUGUAUUCAGAUGUCAGGCUUUUUCAGAUGUCUAGGGUGGGCCAUAAAUUUCCAUACAUGUGGUUUUUAACAUUUUAUUUCAGAUACCCUGAAAAAUGCAUUUGAAUAAAGAGCAACAAAUUACUCAUACUGAUGGCCAGGUCAGGAAGCAGUCCCAUGGUUGCAAUCGAAUUUAACAGAAAACAUGGAGGGAACAUCGCAUACGACACUGUGGCAAAACUUGGUUUCGAAACAGUGUUAUAGAUCAACCGAGAUGUGGUCGAAGGCACAACAGCUACGAUAUUCUGCGCUUACACGGAGUCCUGCAAAAAGUACGCAAUGGGUGUGUGCAAAAAGUGGUGUCAGUACGUAGGGUAUCGGGCAAAUUUUGAAAGCAAAUAAAUGGCAAUCCAUACAAAUUGCAUAUGGCACAGCAUUUGAGUGAAGACGACCCGAUAGAUGGAAUUCUGUGAAUGGGCAUUAAGCAAAUUGAACGAGGGUGCAAACAUUUCAACCAAGAUCUUGUUUACUGAUGAAGCAAAUUUUUACAUUAAUGGAGAGGUUAUUCUUGCAAAACUUGCAUUAUUGGAGUAAUGCUAAUCCUCAAUGGAUGAGUCCAGCGAAGAUGCAAGGUGCCAGUAAAUUGGUGUGGGCCAGGAUAUGGGGUUACUGAAUUAUUGGACCUAUUUUUGUCAAUGGAAAUCUUGAUGCCGAAACAUCUUUAAUAUGUUACAAGAGAUUUUUCCAUCCCUGAUAAAUGGGGAUGGUUUACUUCCAGGAAGAUGGAGCUCCAUCUCAAUAUGGUAUUCACGUGCGUCAAUGGUUAGAUCAGCAGUUUCCAGAUGCUUGGAUUGCUCCCUGUGGUCCUGUGGAGUGGCCUCCCAGAUCUCACCCCACUUGAUUAUCUUUGGGGGCAUUUGAAGGCCAUGGUAUCAGGAAAAGAUAUGAAACAAAUCAUCUUGGGGAAUGUAUCGCCAACAUUCUUAAAAGUAUAACUCCAGCUGUGCUAAUACAUGAUUCAUCAGCAGUUGUGGACAUGUAUUGAAAUGUGUUUUCAAAACCAUGGCAGUCAUGUAGAGCAUAUUAUAAAUGGUUUUUCAUUUUUUCCUAUGUAUGGAAACUUAUGGUCCACCCUGUAUAUAAAUAUUUAAUGAUUCAGUGGUAGUCAACUCCUGGCUAGGGCUGUAGAGUCUGUAGAUAGAGGAGUCGGAGUCAAAGGAUUUAAUAUGCUAAUCUUUUCCAUGUUGAUUGAAGGAAGGUAUCAUGCACAUUUAACCACAGAACUACUGGCUAGGAAGCAGACUUGGGCCACAGCACACACCUCCACCUACAUCAUUACACUUGUUUACACUCAAAUUAACUUGUUAAACACAUUUCUAAUAAAAUGAACACUUUAAUGUACCAUAAUCCAGAUUAUAAUAUGUGAAUGUCAGGUUGGUUAAUAGCUCAGCUGAACUUUACACUAGUAGUAACACAACUAUGCACUGGGCUUUAUUCUUGCAUCGAGAAGUACUUAUUACUAUUUGUGAAAUGGGACAUUUGAACUUGCUGUAUUUUUAUAUUACAAUUUAAAUUAUGAGCUGGUACGUUUUUGCAGACACUGACCCCCAACACCAGGCACCCAAAAUUGUCUGACUUAAACUCCACAGCCCUGCUCCUGGCAUUGGUCUACCUUUUGUCGUUCUGUACUCAAUUCUUUCUACUUUGUAUUACAUUUCUGUUUUUAAAAAAAACUUCCACUGGACCUCUCUACUCUGCCCCUAACUUCUACCUGUUUCCAUCAGAUUCUAUUUGCUCUGGUAAUGUUUACUGCAAAAUGCAGGUUUUGUAGCAGAUAGUCUGCCUUGACAUCUUGAUUUGAUUCCCUUAACAGUGCUUGUCUUUUUUUCUUCCAUUUUAUUAGGUUUUGAGGUUGGGCUAAAGGUAAGGAAAUUGGUGGCAUCUGUGGGGCUUUGGGUCAAACACCAAAUGUGUGCAUUCUGGUUGCGUGUUUAAGCACCAUAGUACUACUCUUGCUUUUUGAAAAUGCCUGAAAUUUGUUUUGAAAUGCCCAAAGUUGUAUUUGCUUUUGGAAAUCCAAGGUGAUGUAUUCCCUGUAGGCCAUAAGAUUGUCUUUUAAUCCAGUGUUUUGGGGCUAGGCUUAAUUGUUUAAUGACUUAACUCUAAGAGCAGUAUUUAAAUGCCUUGCAGUUGGCAAUGAUCUUGCAAUAUUCAUAUCGGAGCAAUCCAAAUAGUGGUACGCCUCUACCAAUCACUGGAUUAAUCUGUGGUCAUACUGAAAUACAAGUAGCAGAACAUUGCAAUAUAACAAGCAAUAGCAUUUUGGCAUUUUCAGAAUAUGUAGGGUCAAACCAAAAUAUAGUAGCUUUUCUAGCCGUGACAUGCAGAAAUUUCAAGUUAAUGCAACUUUUUAAAUGUGGUUGUAUAUUCCAUUUAAAUUUCUGCAGUAAACCUUUAAUGCAUUCCUCCUUUAUGAGGAAAAUGACAUGCUAUUGGAUUUUAAUGUCCUUUCCAGAUUUGGGUUUGGUCAGGGGAGUGUGGGGGUUGUUCCUCCCCUUGCCCCACCACUGUUUAAAUCCUUUUGAAAAUUGGGGUGUGUAUUGUUGUACACUUGGGAGGCUGUGCCUUCCUGUUCACAUUAAAGAUGAAAUUCCACCACUGAGCAGUCAAGUUUAGAAUGGCAUGUUCAACUCUUCCAUCCCUGAGUAGGAUGGAAUCACAGCAGAAACAUACUCUGGACACAAGUGCAUAGUGUUAAUGUACAGAGGGCCAGUUGUGUCACCAAGCACAUGGACGCUUGAAUUUCCAGAAUAAAUACAAAUCCAAGGGUUGCUUGUAAAGGCAGCGUGGGGAGAAUCCAUCUUGUCCUCCAGUGCGAUGUGUAUAUGGUGGGUCUGUGUAGCUAGUACUGUAGCUGUAUGUUGCCCAUAUCUGGGCAGGACACUUUUCUCCCUCUGCAUUGACAUUGGAAACCUCAGAGCUCUGUAUGUAUAGCUUGUAGAGGAGAGAUUGCACAAUUUUGUACACCCAACUCAAAGAUCUGGCCACUGUCCACAACAGUCCAACCAUGCUAUAGAUUUGCACAAAACUAAAACGGGACCAAAAAUAUCAGUUGUAUUUGUAUUAAUGUAGGGUUUUCAAGACCUGUACCUUUAUGCUUACACCCUAGUUUAAUUACUCAGUGUUUUAAUACUUAAAUGGUAAUCUGUACUGAGCAGUAAGUUUGUGUCUAAACAUUUUAAAAUAAGGUUGUCUUUGACAGUUGUCAGUUUUCUUGGUUGGCUUAAUAUUUUAAAGGGAAAUCUAUUUUCUUUCCAGCAGGAAAAUAACCAGGCCCUUCUAGUGCUAGAGGGAUAUUCACUUAAAGAUGAUAUAGCUACUUUGGAAGCAGUGCUCUGGUAUUUCAUUACCACUUUUCAAAAUGUAAACCCUAACCCUUUGAACUGCUGAUAUUGAAUUUUUGCAAACUAUUUUUACAAGGGUGAUUACUGCUCUUGUACUGCAAUGCUGAGUGAAUUUUAUAUAAGCAGUAAAGGGUAAAGUUUGGUCAUUUGAAGCUGGCAUACUCCAUAGUACAAGUUAUAGCCUUGCUUUUUCUGUCAUAUCUUUAUAAAAAUGUGUUCCAGGCUGAAAUCCUAAACUCAUUUGAAAACGAGCAGCCUCUACCAGUAUUUUUUUCCUUUAGCAUCAGAACUGAAAUGUGAUCAAGGUGGUGUUAAAUUGAAUAAGUAAAACCCAGUGUCCGCAAUAGCUGCUAUAAUGUGUGAAAAAAUCAUGGGUUCAGAUUUAAUCUUAUCAAAUAUUUGAAUGUUUAUCAUAUUGAAUAUCUCCCCCAUAUUAAAGACAAAAGCAAAAUUUGUAUUAAGCUUUUCUUAAAUGGAACAAAUUUGGUUUUCAGCUAAUGAAUAGUGACUUGUUUUUUCCUGUUGCAUAACUUUAUAGAACUUUGCAAUUUUGCUUCCCUAAAGCUUACUUUCAUUUACUGAUUUGAGUGCACAAUUCUGUCACUUCCUGCCUGCAUCAGUACUAUCAAGUGGCUUUAUUUGUGUAAGACACUGCCAAGUACAGGCACCCAACACAUCCUUUCACCUCUGGAGAUGUGAACAUGCUUUUGGAUGGUAUGGGGGGAAAUUUAUAAUGUCUCCAUUUUUAAACUUGUAGUUCAUGCUGCAUAUCAUGCAGUAAGAAUAACAUGUCCUUUUGUUCAUCAAGCAAAGUACUUAUACUUUUCAGUGUUUUGCCCACACUGAAGUUUUUCACUGGUUAUAAUUACUUUUACGAUGAAUUCACCUACAGAAAUAUCUAUUCUAACAAGCUUUUCUGUGCAGAAUCUAGUGAAACCUUUCAUGUGCUGCAGUGUUUUCAGUGGAGUGUUGCAGGGAAAGACUGAUUUCCUGAGGUACUAUCCAGUGUUUGGAUUUUUUUUAAAUAGGUGAACCCUGUAUGUCUUUGUUGCAGCCAGUUAACUUCCUGUUCUGCUUUCAGAUUCUCUCCUGACCCAAUGUAACAAGUUUUGUGGCAUCCCCAAAGAAGUAAUUUGACUAUAGGUAACCAUAAACUAAACUGAGUUUGAUUGUAACUUUUCAAUAAGAUAUUUGGGCCUAACACAUUUUAGGGAGUCCUAACUUGCACCAUUCAAGCCCCAUCUUUUUAAAUUCCCACACAGAAGGCUGUGUAACAGUAAUGAUGUGUACAGAAUUGGGAAAGCAGCAUUGCAUUGGCUACCAAGUGGCUCUAGGGCUCAUCCUGCUUCUAAAGCUGGCUCUUAGACUGGAAAUAAAGCCUGAGGAACUGAAGGGUCCCAUUUGUCAUGUUGUCAAUUAUGCCUUUUACUUUUAGGAUUGCCUUUAGACCUCUUCAGGAAACGUUUUUCUCUCCUAACCCCCCACCCCCCAUUUUUAUUAACUUGCUAAGUAAAUUGGACUUGAUGCCAAAGUUUACUCCUAAUAGAUAUUACAUUCAAAACACAUGAGUAAAUGUAAUCGUGCUGGAAAUGGCAGUUACCCUUAAGAGCUGAGAAGCUUUUUAGUAAGAUAAAUGGUGUUGAUUUGUGCACCAGUGAAUGUUCUGGUUUGAAAAUUCUUAUUCCUUCUGUAUUGGUGUGGAAUUUUCAAAGUAUUAGUGAUGGACUGCUGAUCCCUGUGGUUUGAUUCUUGCUUUACCUGCAGUGGCACUUUCUCCUAGUAGGCCUGUGCUUAAAUGACCAGGUUCAGUGACCAAGUCUCCCUUUUAAUAUAGGGGAAAAUCAAUGAUGCUGCUGUUUUGGUGGAUUUUGGGAAUUUGUUGAAUUAGUACAGUGCAUCCGGAAAGUAUUCACAGCACAUCACUUUUUCCACAUUUUUGUUACAGCCUUAUUCCAAAAUGGAUUAAAUUCAUUUUUUUCCUCAAUUCUACACACAACACCCCACAAUGACAACGUGAAAAAAGUUUACUUGAGGUUUUUGCAAAUUUGUUAAUGAUCACGUGUACAAAAGUGUUCAUUGCCUUUGCUCAAUACUUUGUCUGCACCUUUGGCAGCGAUUACAGCCUCAAGUCUUUUUGAAUAUGAUGCCACAAGCUUGGCACACCUAUCCUUGGCCAGUUUCUCCCAUUCCUCUUUGCAGCACCUCUCAAGCUCCAUCAGGUUGGAUGGGAAGUUUCGGUGCACAGCCAUUUUAAUAUCUCUCUAGAGAUGUUCAAUCGGAUUCAAGUCUGGGCUCUGGCUGGGCCACUCAAGGACAUUCACAGAGUUGUCCUGAAGCCAGUCCUUUGAUAUCUUGGCUGUGUGCUUAGGGUCAUUGUCCUGCUGAAAGAUGAACCGUUGCCCCAGUCUGAGGUCGAGCGCUCUGGAGCAGGUUUUCAUCCAGGAUGUCUCUGUACAUUGCUGCAGUCAUCUUCUUUAUCCUGACUAGUCUCCCAGUCCCUGCCACUGAAAAACAUCCCCACAGCAUGAUGCUGCCACCACCAUGCUUCACUGUAGGGAUGGUAUUGACCUGGUGAGGAGCGGUGCCUGGUUUCCUCCAAACGUGACGCCUGGCAUUCACACCAAAGAGUUCAAUCUUUGUCUCAUCAGAGAAUUUUCUUUCUCAUGGUCUGAGUCCUUCAGGUGCCUUUUGGCAAACUCCAGGUGGGCUGCCAUGUGCCCUUUACUAAGGAGUGGCUUCCGUCUGGCCACUCUACCAUACAGGCCUGAUUGGUGGAUUGCUGCAGAGAUGGUUGUCCUUCUGGAAGGUUCUACUCUCUCCACAGAGGACCUCUGGAGCUCUGACAGAGUGACCAUCGGGUUCUUUGUCACCUCCCUAAGGCCCUUCUCCCACAGUUGCUCAGUUUAGGUGGCUGGUCAGCUCUAGGAAGAGGCCUGGUGGUUUCGAACUUCUUCCACUUACGCAUAAUGGAGGCCACUGUGCUCAUUGGGACCUUCAAAGCAGCAGAAAUUUUUCUGUAACCUUCCCCAGAUUUGUGCCUCGAGACAAUCCUGUCUCGGAGGUCUACAGACCAUUCCUUUGACUUCAUGCUUGGUUUGUGCUCUGACAAGAACUGUCAACUGUGGGACCUUAUAUAGACAGGUGUGUGCCUUUUCAAAUCCUGUGCAGUCAACUGAAUUUACCACAGGUGGACUCCAAUUAAGCUGCAGAAACAUCUCCAGGAUGAUCAGGGGAAACAGGAUGCACCUGAGCUCAAUUUUGAGCUUCAUGGCAAAGGCUGUGAAUACUUAAUGUACAUGUGCUUUCUCAAUUUUUAUUUUUAAUAUGCAAAAAUCUCAACUUUUCAUGUCAUUAUAGGGUGUUGUGUGUAGAAUUCUGAGGAGAAAAAUGAAUUUAAUCCAUUUUGGAAUAAGGCUGUAACAAAAUGUGGAAAAAGUGAUGCGCUGUGAAUACUUUCCGGAUGCACUAUGUGAAUGCAAUUUUCAUAGUUCAUUACAAUUCAAGUUAUGGUCAAUUAGUACCACUAUCUAUGGAAGUCUAAUAUGGUGCACAUGCUAAAUGUUUCAAAGUUAAUUCCAUAUUUUUACAUUAAGCUUAAACUGUAUCAAAACCAAUAUCCUUAAGUGUUGGCAUUAUAGUACAUUUGGGACACUUUCUUAGCAGGUAGGAGAAGUUUUUACAAAGUGGUGACACUUUCAACUUUACUAAUCUUAUGGUUAGUAUUGGUGGCUGAAAGAACUUUCCACAUCCUGCUUAAUUUUGAGCAGAAUAAAAGCUCUAAGUGAAGUUCAAAUAUGUUUUAAAUAUACAUGUUGUCUUGAUCUCUGCUGCUUUUAGAUUCCUAAUUCAACUUAGUUUCAAAGGUGUUAGUGAGAAGCUCAGUACUGCUGUUACUGUUGUGCCAUAAAGCAGAUUAAAAGGGAUUUAAAACACUUGUGCUGUGACUUGGCUUACUUGCACCAAGUGGCUUACACUUCGGUCAUUUGCUGUAUAUCUUUUAAAUGUGUGUGGGUUUUUAAAUUAAGUCUUUGACAUGCAAUAAGAACUUUUAAAAUGCCUAAUGUGUAUAGGAUACUGGUUUCAAACUUCAACAUUUAACAGUUCACUUUUCUUAUGAAUAAACUUCCUGAUUUUUAACAA